AAGGAGCGGUGGACUGAUUACGAGUGAGAAUGUUGGCAUUAGUAGCGAGAUGUAGGUGAGAAUCCUACAGGCCGAAUAUCUAAGGUUUCCUCAGGAAGGCUCGUCCGCUGAGGGUUAGUCGGGACCUAAGCCGAGGCCGAAAGGCGUAGGCGAUGGACAAUCGGUUGAUAUUCCGAUACCACUACCAUCGUUAUUAUCGAGGGUGUGACGGAGAAGGAUAGUGUGUGCUAGCGAUUGGAAAUGCUAGUCUAAGCGUUUAGGGAGUUACGGUAGGCAAAUCCGCUGUAACAAUUCUGAGGCGUGAUGGGGAAGGUCAUUAAGACCGAAGUACAUGAUUCCAUGCUUCCAAGAAAAGCAUCUAGAGAGAGAAGUAGUGCCCGUACCGCAAACCGACACAGGUAGAUGAGGAGAGAAUCCUAAGGCCGGCGGAAGAAUUGCAGUUAAGGAACUAGGCAAAUUGACCCCGUAAGUUCGCGAGAAGGGGUGCCUGCGAGAGCAGGCCGCAGAGAAUAGGCCCAAGCAACUGUUUAGCAAAAACACAGGUCUCUGCUAAAGCGUAAGCUGAUGUAUAGGGGCUGACGCCUGCCCGGUGCUGGAAGGUUAAGGGGAACACUUAGCGCAAGCGAAGGUGUGAACUUAAGCCCCAGUAAACGGCGGCCGUAACUAUAACGGUCCUAAGGUAGCGAAAUUCCUUGUCAGGUAAGUUCUGACCCGCACGAAUGGCGUAAUGACUUGGGCACUGUCUCAACUGCAAAUCCGGCGAAGUUGUAGUGCGAGUGAAGAUGCUCGCUACCCGCGAUUGGACGGAAAGACCCCGUAGAGCUUUACUGUAGCUUAGCAUUGAAUUCCGGUAUUGUCUGUACAGGAUAGGUGGGAGACUGGGAAACUAGGGCGUCAGCCUUAGUGGAGUCAACCUUGGGAUACCACCCUGACAGUACUGGGGUUCUAACAGGACGCCAUGAAGCUGGUGACUGGACAUUGUUAGGUGGGCAGUUUGACUGGGGCGGUCGCCUCCUAAAAAGUAACGGAGGCGCCCAAAGGUUCCCUCAGAACGGUCGGAAAUCGUUCGUAGAGUGCAAAGGCAGAAGGGAGCCUGACUGCGAGACCCACAAGUCGAGCAGGGACGAAAGUCGGGCUUAGUGAUCCGGUGGUACCUCGUGGGAGGGCCAUCGCUCAACGGAUAAAAGCUACCUCGGGGAUAACAGGCUGAUCUCCCCCAAGAGUCCACAUCGACGGGGAGGUUUGGCACCUCGAUGUCGGCUCGUCGCAUCCUG
rnacentral:rRNA from 1 species